GCGUCUCACGGGUCCCAAACUCGCAACCGCGAGAAGAAUUCUGUUGACAUGUCAAAGCAUAACUAGGAGAGGAAACCAGGUUAAUUCCACGGCGAUCCGCUAGAGAUGGAAAUCAAAGAGGCGACAUCGUGAUGUGCCAAAAAAAAAAAAAUGGCGAGAUCGUGAAGGAGUGUCCAAAAGGCCAAUAAACAGCUAUCCAGCGGAGGGUAGCCGGGUGCGCGGUGGAGGCGAGACUGGCGGUCUUCCGUCGCCAGAGGUUAGGUUGAAGCCUGGGCACCACCAACGAAGACGGUACUCCUCGCUUUCUUCUCCUCCUUUUUCCUUUCUUGAAAUCCUAUUCUUGAACCCCUUCCCACCUCCAUCCUUUCCUCUCUUCCCUGUAUUUCCGCCGCCCGGCACCGCCUCCUCCUACCAUCCCGGAUCUCGGGCUUGCCGCGGCGGCGGCGGCGAUCGG
rnacentral:lncRNA from 1 species